CACGUAGGGCGCAAGCGUUGUCCGGAAUUAUUGGGCGUAAAGAGCUCGUAGGCGGUUUGUCGCGUCUGCUGUGAAAAUCCGGGGCUCAACCCCGGACUUGCAGUGGGUACGGGCAGACUAGAGUGUGGUAGGGGAGACUGGAAUUCCUGGUGUAGCGGUGAAAUGCGCAGAUGUCAGGAGGAACACCGAUGGCGAAGGCAGGUCUCUGGGCCACUACUGACGCUGAGAAGCGAAAGCAUGGGGAGCGAACAGG
rnacentral:rRNA from 1 species